rnacentral:rRNA from 1 species
UACGUAGGGCGCAAGCGUUGUCCGGAAUUAUUGGGCGUAAAGAGCUCGUAGGCGGUCUGUCGCGUCUGUUGUGAAAACUCGAGGCUCAACCUCGGGCUUGCAGUGGAUACGGGCAGACUAGAGUGCGGGUAGGGGAGACUGGAAUUCCUGGUGUAGGCGGUGGAAUGCGCAGAUAUCAGGAGGAACACCGAUGGCGAAGGCAGG